rnacentral:misc_RNA from 1 species
GAUGAAGAACGUAGCGAAAUGCGAUACGUAAUGUGAAUUGCAGAAUUCAGUGAAUCAUCGAGUCUUUGAACGCACAUUGCGCCCCCUGGUAUUCCGGGGGGCAUGCCUGUCCGAGCGUCAUUGCUGCCCUCAAGCACGGCUUGUGUGUUGGGCCUCCGUCCUCCUCCCGGGGGACGGGCCCGAAAGGCAGCGGCGGCACCGCGUCCGGUCCUCGAGCGUAUGGGGCUUCGUCACCCGGUCUUGUAGGCCCGGCCGGCGCUUGCCGACACAUCAAUCUUUUUUCCAGGUUGACCUCGGAUCAGGUAGGGAUACCCGCUGAACUUAAGCAUAUCAAUAAGCGGAGGA